rnacentral:rRNA from 1 species
CGAAAGCCUGACGGAGCAAUACCGCGUGAGGGAGGAAUGCCUUUGGGUUGUAAACCUCUUUUCUCAGGGAAGAAGAUCUGACGGUACCUGAGGAAUAAGUAUCGGCUAACUCCGUGCCAGCAGCCGCGGUAAUACGGAGGAUGCAAGCGUUAUCCGGAAUCAUUGGGCGUAAAGCGUCCGCAGGUGGUUUCCAAAGUCUGCUGUUAAAGACUGGAGCUCAACUCCGGAACGGCGGUGGAAACUUGGAAACUAGAGUUCGGUAGGGGUAGCAGGAAUUCCCAGUGUAGCGGUGAAAUGCGUAGAUAUUGGGAAGAACAUCGGUGGCGAAGGCGUGCUACUGGACCGCAACUGACACUCAGGGACGAAAGCUAGGGUAGCGAAGGGGAUUAGAUACCCCUGUAGUCCUAGCCGUAAACGAUG